GACGAACGCUGGCGGCGUGCCUAAUACAUGCAAGUCGAACGCUUCUUUUUCACCGAACCUCGGUUCAUCGAAAAAGAGGAGUGGCGAACGGGUGAGUAACACGUGGGUAACCUGCCCAUCAGAAGGGGAUAACACUUGGAAACAGGUGCUAAUACCGUAUAAUGCUUUUUCUCGCAUGAGAGCAAGCUGAAAGGCGCUUUUGCGUCACUGAUGGAUGGACCCGCGGUGCAUUAGCUAGUUGGUGAGGUAACGGCUCACCAAGGCCACGAUGCAUAGCCGACCUGAGAGGGUGAUCGGCCACACUGGGACUGAGACACGGCCCAGACUCCUACGGGAGGCAGCAGUAGGGAAUCUUCGGCAAUGGACGAAAGUCUGACCGAGCAACGCCGCGUGAGUGAAGAAGGUUUUCGGAUCGUAAAACUCUGUUGUUAGAGAAGAACAAGGAUGAGAGUAAAAUGUUCAUCCCUUGACGGAUCUAACCAGAAAA
rnacentral:rRNA from 1 species